CGCAGAAGAAAUGGAGCAUGAUGGAUCUUGUCAUCAUGCUUUUGAGGCUCUGGAAUAUAUAGGCCACCGGACGACUGCAAAAUCGGGUAAGGAGGUAUAACGAAGCGUUCCGAAAGAAUGAAUCGUAUAGAACUCCGCAUAUUAUAUACCUAAAGCAAAUAUUGACUUUCUCACACAUCCUCGCUAUACCAUUGCUGGGAAGACAGAUCUGGAAUAAAACUUUCAACAAUGUUAUCUGGCUUGACAUACUCUGCUACGACGCCAUGGCCGCCAAUAACCAUAUUACUCCAUACUUCUGAGAGAACUUCACCAGCCUUCUGAAAGCUCUUUUUUUCAAGGUCAUGAUCCUUGGUUCUCCCUUGUUCAUCCAAAUUGGUUCCAUAGGAAUCAUGCGAAAGUGUAAGUCCAGAUAAUUCCCGGCUGAAAGGCACCAUUCUUCUCUCAACGCGAUUGAACUCGCUUAUACCUUAAACCAGGUGCAUUUGUAAAGAUAAAUACUUAUUGCUCUAGACUCUAGAUCAUGCUUGACAAAGUUGUGUAGGGCAUGGGCAAUACUUUUGAAGAAUUGAUACAUGAGCUAAAAUAUUGAGUUUGUUAAUAGAAUAGUAUAAUAUUUUGAUCACCCUGUACAAAAUUUUGUAACAAUAAACAUAUGUUUGAAUAU
rnacentral:lncRNA from 1 species